GGGGAAUUUUGGACAAUGGGGGCAACCCUGAUCCAGCAAUGCCGCGUGUGUGAAGAAGGCCUUCGGGUUGUAAAGCACUUUUGUCCGGAAAGAAAACGCCGUGGUUAAUACCCGUGGCGGAUGACGGUACCGGAAGAAUAAGCACCGGCUAACUACGUGCCAGCAGCCGCGGUAAUACGUAGGGUGCAAGCGUUAAUCGGAAUUACUGGGCGUAAAGCGUGCGCAGGCGGUCCGCUAAGACAGAUGUGAAAUCCCCGGGCUUAACCUGGGAACUGCAUUUGUGACUGGCGGGCUAGAGUAUGGCAGAGGGGGGUAGAAUUCCACGUGUAGCAGUGAAAUGCGUAGAGAUGUGGAGGAAUACCGAUGGCGAAGGCAGCCCCCUGGGCCAAUACUGACGCUCAUGCACGAAAGCGUGGGGAGCAAAC
rnacentral:rRNA from 1 species